rnacentral:rRNA from 1 species
GGCAUCAGUAAGGGAUUUUGCGCGAUGCAGGACAGUCUGACGCACCAAAGCCGUGUGGGGGAUGAAGCAGUACGGUGUGUUAACCAAUGUAGACACUGACAGUGUACAUCGUUUGGGGAGGGGAUGUACAAGACGGUUCCUUUAAAGUAAGCUCCGGGCUACUGCGUGCCAGCAGCCGCGGUAAUACGGGGGGUGCCAGUGGUUUCCGGUAUUAUUUGGCGUAAAUGCGGUGUCGGCCGCUUCUUUAGUCAGAUCUGAAAGCCCACUGAUUAUCCGUGGAACCGCAUUUGAAACCGGUUGCCCUGAGUAUGAGAAGGGGUAGUCGUAUUACCAGUGUAGCGGCGAGCACGGCCGAUAUUUCCAAGAACUCCAGUAGAGAAGUGGACUCCCCGGAUCAUUACGGACGCUAACGCGGGAAAACCCGGGGAGCAAUCAGCAGGUGAUACCACGGUAGUACCCUUACGAAUAGAUGGAUUUCGUCCCUGGGUUCAUUGGUUAGCGAUCAGUGUCGCAUCAAACGCCUUAAGUAUCCCGUGUGGGGAGUAUUAUUGCAAGGUGGAAACUCAAAUGAAGCGGCGG